GAAAUGCGAUAAGUAGUGUGAAUUGCAGAAUUCAGUGAAUCAUCGAAGCUUUGAACGCACAUUGCGCCCUUUGGUAUUCCUUAGGGCAUGCCUGUUCGAGCGUCAUUUAAACCCUUCAAGCUCAGCUUGGUGUUGGGUGACUGUCCGCCGCCCCCGGGCGUGGACUCGCCCCAAAUCCAUUGGCGGCCGGUACGUAGGCUUCGAGCGCAGCAGAAACGCGAACUCGAGCCCGCGGUGUCGGCUCCCAGAAGCCAUCUCUUUUAUUUUGACCUCGGAUCAGGUAGGGAUACCCGCUGACCUUAAGC
rnacentral:misc_RNA from 1 species